GACGACCAAAUGUGUAACUUGCCAUUAUAAGAAGCCAUCUUGUCUAUACACAAACCUCAACAUUAUUUUCUGGUUCUUUGGCCUUAAUUUAGCCUCUGCACCUCUUUGGAUUUAUCUAAGGGAGUAUGGCUAGCUAUUAGUUCAGUGGUAGAGCGGACCCUUGAUAAUUAUUGGAAUGUGAGGUAUUUCAUUGUUCUUUUAUUUAGGUACAAAAAAAUUAUAUAAAGGAUGCAGAUAUUUGUCAAAUCACUCACAGGCCAGACCAUGACACUAGAUGUGGAAACCUUUGACACCAUUGAUAGUGUGAAAGACAAAAUCUAUGAAAAAACAGGGAUAAAAGCAGAACAUCAGAGGCUAAUAUUUGGUGGCAAGCAACUGGAAAAUGGUACUGUGAAGGAUUAUGACAUAAAAAAAGAGUCCACUCUUCAUCUUGUUCUUCGCUUGCUUGGUGCAGCUACAUCUUGAAUUUUUUUACACAAGACACUAUGAUUUUUGUACUUUUUAUUCAAGCUUUUAAGUUGACUCAGAAAUAAGCAGAUGAAUAAAUUACUUGUGUAAGGUAAACAUGGCUGAAUUUGAAUGAAAAAUUGCUUCAUCAUUGUGUUUA